rnacentral:tRNA from 1 species
GCCUUCGUGGUGUAACUGUAGCACACUCGACUCGUAUUGGAGAGGUCCAGGUUCGAGUCCCGACUAGGGCA